rnacentral:rRNA from 1 species
UCCGUAGGGGAACCUGCGGAAGGAUCAUUACCGAGUGAGGGCCCUCUGGGUCCAACCUCCCACCCGUGUUUAUUUUACCUUGUUGCUUCGGCGGGCCCGCCUUACCUGGCCGCCGGGGGGCUUACGCCCCCGGGCCCGCGCCCGCCGAAGACACCCUCGAACUCUGUCUGAAGAUUGUAGUCUGAGUGAAAAUAUAAAUUAUUUAAAACUUUCAACAACGGAUCUCUUGGUUCCGGCAUCGAUGAAGAACGCAGCGAAAUGCGAUACGUAAUGUGAAUUGCAAAUUCAGUGAAUCAUCGAGUCUUUGAACGCACAUUGCGCCCCCUGGUAUUCCGGGGGGCAUGCCUGUCCGAGCGUCAUUGCUGCCCUCAAGCACGGCUUGUGUGUUGGGCCCCGUCCUCCGAUCCCGGGGGACGGGCCCGAAAGGCAGCGGCGGCACCGCGUCCGGUCCUCGAGCGUAUGGGGCUUUGUCACCCGCUCUGUAGGCCCGGCCGGCGCUUGCCGAUCAACCCAAAUUUUUAUCCAGGGUUGACCUCGGAUCAGGUAGGGAUACCCGCUGAACUUAAGCAUAUCAAUAAGCGGAG